rnacentral:misc_RNA from 1 species
AUAUGGAAGUACGAUCUGCUUAUGUAUUACGGAAUGCUUAAUACAAGCUUCCAGUGGUGCAAUCGCUCACAAGAUGCAUUCGGCAGGCUAUGUUGGUAGUUGGCUAUAUAAUGAUUCCAGCAUACCCUGCCAAGUCUGUAUGCGACAAGUCGCUGUCCUUUGCUCAUGAAGAGGCGAAAAUGGCCAUUGCUGUGUUCCUUCACGAUAGGGCCUCCAGCAUACGUUGUUGUGUUUGUUGCUUGGUGACACAAAGGUUGGAAGGAACGUCGGCCGCUUGAAGGAGGAAUACGGAAUGGUUGACAUAAUUUU